rnacentral:rRNA from 1 species
UAACACGGGGGGAGCAAGCGUUGUUCGGAUUCAUUGGGCGUAAAGAGCUCGUAGGCCGCUCUGUAAGUCGGAAGUGAAAGACCACGGCUCAACCGUGGAAACGCUUUCGAAACUGUGGAGCUUGAGGCCGGGAGAGGAGAUUGGAAUUCCUGGUGUAGCGGUGAAAUGCGUAGAUAUCAGGAGGAACACCCGUGGCGAAGGCGAAUCUCUGGACCGGUUCUGACGCUGAGGAGCGAAAGCUAGGGGAGCAAACAGGAUUAGAUACCCUGGUAGUCCUAGCUGUAAACGAUGGGCACUAGGUGUGGGGGGAUCGACCCCUUCCGUGCCGCAGUUAACGCAUUAAGUGCCCCGCCUGGGGAGUACGACCGCAAGGUUG